AGCCCCUGCAAAACUAAAUAACAUCACUUCGGAACCAUUAAGCAAACUAAAUUUGUUGUCUCAGGUGGAGAAGCAUACAGCAAUAACAAAUCCCCAGUUAGCGACGGGACCCCAAAAAUGAGUCGUUUUGGGACCAACGGGACUGUUCAAAAAUGCUUUGAAGGAGGCCAUGCAGGAGUCUGCAACGUAAAAAUCUGGCACGGUCAUAAUAGCAAAGUCAGACAUUAAGAGAAAUAUGUUAAUUGACCGCUACAUGUAACACGGAAAGCUCCAUAACAAACAAAACGAAUUAAAAGUACUUAUUAGACUAUUUUUUAUUUAAUGGGAGAAUAUUAGGGCAGUUUUUGUGGCUAAUAUAGAGAUAAAGGAGUCAACAUCAAAGCCUAUAAGAAGCUCCAGUGACAAGUGAAAACCAACAAUGCAGCUCGAAUAUAACAGAUUACUUUCCCUGAAGCUGAAUCUCUCCCACAAAUGACAAGAAACAUCAAGGCACAAGUGACUUGGAAAAAGCACAUUAUUGGAAGUUUAGAACUUCCAUCAGAUGACAAAAGAGACGGAUAAAAUACCACUACAUAGAUAAUAAAAUUAACAUGUCCAAAGAUGAAGAUCUUCACCAUUCUUUAAUGUAUAACUUAGAUAAUGACAUUGAGAUGAAUAUGGAGCGGGCGAAGAAAAAAAAAGGGAAAACAAGCAACCAAUCUAUAUAAUUCAGGGAACUGGUGCACACCUGCCAUUGUAUAGCUUCACAUUUAACUAUAGAACUAAUGCACCAACAUAUGAAACCAGAUCAUCAAACCAUAAAUAGUUCAUUAUUUGCCCACUGUUUACCACCAUGAAGACACCUUUUUAUGCAGUACAAUUGCGAAGCAAUUGACUCUAAAAAUUGCAUCAAAUGCUUAUAUAUAGAGCAUUUACCGAACCAACUCAUAAUUCUGUUUUUUUUCCCUAACAAAAUCAAUAUUCUUGGACACAGUAUCCGAAUCCAACACUUAAGUUUAGAAAUAACAUGACGGACAUCUAAUUCUACAGUUGGAUGGACCAUGCACUAUUUUGCUUAAUAAAAAUGCAGAAGUCUUCUAAAUGAAAAACAGAAGCAAUAAACCACUAAUCCAACUAAAUAAAUGCUGACGACCAUGUACCAGACCAGAAAAGUUCAAUUAUUUGUAAAUGAUGGCAAAUAAUCAAGAAAUUAACUCCAUAAAAUUUUGGAGAACUUCACAAAUGUUCUAACAGAAAAAAACCAACUCAUUAAACUAUUUGCAUUGAUGACAACAAAUCCAACCAACUCAUAAAUUUUGUUUUCCUAACAAGAUCAAUAUUCUUGGACACAGUAUCCAAAUCCAACACUCAAGUUUAGAACUAACAUGAUGGACAUCUAAUUCUACAGUUUUGCUUAAUAAAAGAUAACCAUUUAAAUGCAUAAGUCUUCUAAAUGAAAAACAGAAGUGAUAAACCACUAAUCCAACUAAAUAAAUGCUGACGACCAUGUACCAGACCAGAAAAGUUCAAUUAUUUGUAAAUGACGGCCAAUAAUCACAACUCAAUAAAUUUUAGAGAACUUUAUAAAUGUUCUAACACAAAAAACCAAUUCAUUAAACUAUUUGCAUUGACGCCAACGAAUACAGAAGCACUCAAAAUAGAGAGUGCAAAAGAACAUCAUUUAUUGUUUGUCUCUACUCUCUCCCAACAACUCCCUCUUUCUGAAGAAAGUUGUCAAGCAGGCGUCUUUGAACCAAACCUUCCCAUGCUUAUUAGAUUUUGAGGAUAAGGGGAACCAUGAUAUUCUUAUUUCCACACUUACCUCAAGAAAGGGUUCAUCCCGAAGUAUGCCACUCGUGCUCAGAGAAAAGCCUGGAGGACUUUGCCCAACCGGCCGACUUAACCAAAUAUUCGAAGGUUAAAGGAGUUCCAAAUAAAUUCCAGUAAGUUAGAAAAUAAUCCAACAAAAAUUGGAGAACUUCAGAAACGUUGCAACCAAACAUAAAUAUUCAUCAAGCCAUAUUUUCUUCCUAGAUCAUUCAAGAAUGAAUACGAAUUCGAAAGGGAGGGAACCCAAAAAAAAAAAUAAUAAAUAAAUAAAUAAAAAUAAAAAUAAAUAAACAAAAUCCCUUAUCUUCAAACCCAAACAGGACGUGCUUUCUUUAUGUUAACGAACUAAACCUAUAAUUUCAAACAAAAAAAUCGGUAAACCAAUGAAAUCCCAUGUCAAUAUAUAGAUCAAUCGAAUAACUAAAUGAGAUAUAAAUCCACACACAACAUAGAAAUGCACGCACAAGAUUAACGAAUUGUAUAUGUCUCUAUUCAAAGAUCGUGCCUUUACCACUUGAAUCUGUACAAAAAUCGUCGGUUGGUUCGCGGUGUGGUGACUGAAGUUUAGAGAAGAGGAAAAAUAGACAGUUCUAUAGGGGUGACUGCGUGCUGAUGAGACCAGGAUACUAUACACAGGGCCCCACUAUAAUUGUAUUUUUUUGGAAUAAUUAAACUUGAAGAGUAAUUUUAGCGGACUUAAUUGUUUGAACGCUCGGAAUUGCGAAAUUUCACGUUUUGAGUGAACUUUGACAUUGCAUAACAAAAUCAUUCAGUAUCUUUUACUCUAUCAAAGCAUUGAAUUUCUAAAUUCUCAAAGGGCCCCCCUGGAAUUCCCUCUAGCCUGUUGGAUAAUUU
rnacentral:lncRNA from 1 species